GAUGAACGCUGGCGGCGUGCUUAACACAUGCAAGUCGAACGGGAUCCAAGGAGCGUUUUUCGUUUUUUGGUGAGAGUGGCGAACGGGUGAGUAACACGUGAGUAACCUGUCCUUUUCUUUGGGAUAAGCUCCUGAAAGGGUGUUUAAUACCUUAUGUUCUGUCUGCCUCGCAUGGGGUGGGUGGGAAAGAUUUUUUCGGUGAAGGGUGGGCUCGCGGUCUAUCAGCUUGUUGGUGGGGUGAUGGCUUACCAAGGCUUUGACGGGUAGCCGGCCUGAGAGGGUGGUCGGUCACAUUGGGACUGAGAUACGGCCCAGACUCCGGCGGGAGGCAGCAGUGGGGGAUAUUGCACAAUGGGCGCAAGCCUGAUGCAGCGACGCCGCGUGGGGGAUGAAGGCCUUCGGGUUGUAAACUUCUUUUGCUCUGAACAAGGCGCAUCUUUGGGGUGUGUUGAGUGUAGGGGUUGAUUAGCGCCGGCUAACUACGUG
rnacentral:rRNA from 1 species